UACGAAGGGGGCUAGCGUUGCUCGGAAUGACUGGGCGUAAAGGGCGCGUAGGCGGCCUGGCAAGUCGGUGGUGAAAGCUCAGAGCUCAACUCUGAGUCGGCCAUCGAUACUGCUAUGGCUCGAGUCGACUAGAGGCAGAUGGAAUUCCGGGUGUAGCGGUGGAAUGCGUAGAGAUCCGGAAGAACACCGGUGGCGAAGGCGGUCUGCUGGGGUCGAACUGGACGCUGAGGCGCGACAGCGUGGGGGAGCAAACAGGAUUAGAAACCGUAGGUAGU
rnacentral:rRNA from 1 species